GAUGAAGAACGCAGCGAAAUGCGAUAAGUAAUGUGAAUUGCAGAAUUCAGUGAAUCAUCGAAUCUUUGAACGCACAUUGCGCCCGCCAGUAUUCUGGCGGGCAUGCCUGUUCGAGCGUCAUUUCAACCCUCAAGCACAGCUUGGUGUUGGGACUCGCGUUAAUUCGCGUUCCCCAAAUUGAUUGGCGGUCACGUCGAGCUUCCAUAGCGUAGUAGUAAAACCCUCGUUACUGGUAAUCGUCGCGGCCACGCCGUUAAACCCCAACUUCUGAAUGUUGACCUCGAAUCAGGUAGGAAUACCCGCUGAACUUAAGCAUAUCAAUAAGCGGAGGA
rnacentral:misc_RNA from 1 species